UUCAAUGAGGCUCUUUGCAGCUUUCAAUGAGGCUCUUUGCAGCUUUCAGUGAGGCUCUGUGCAGCUGUCAAUCAAGCUCAGUGCAGAGAAACACUUCCUGAGUUUGGUCUCCUGCCAGGCUGGGAGGAGACCAAACUCACUGUAUUAAUUGUGUCAGGGAGCAGAACAGAGCAACCUAGUGGUCAUUUUUUCUACUACAUUUUAAACAUAUUUAUGAUGAUAAUUUUCAAAGCAAGUGAAUGGGAAAGUGUCUGCUAAUUACACAAUAAUAAAAGUUUUAUUUGGAGACAGGUAAUCUUUAAUAAUAAACUAUUAUAAUAACCAAAUUAUUGGUGCUGUCAGUAGCAAACAAUUUUUAACACCAUUUUUUGAUGUCUUAUGCCCACCCAGAGACUGGAUGCCAAGGUCUGCAUGAGACAUUAGUGCUUAGCCAAUUACCAGCCACAGCGGUGUCUGGCCACAGCCAGUGAGUGGCAAUGCAGAAGCACCUGACAGUGAAAUAACAGAGGCUGCAGGAUUAAUAACAAAGCAGACUGGGGGAGAAACAGGAUAAAAUGUGAAAGGCAAGAAGGAAGCUGAUCAGAAGCAGCGAUGAGGCUGGACUCCAAGGAAUUGAAUGUGCUGACAACAAAAUCCCACAAAAAUUAUCAAUGGAAAUGAAAUUUAUCAACCCAUGGAGGUCUGGAUAUGGAGUCACACUCAAAAUCAAAGUGAAAAACCACACUACAGGCUGAUCCAACUUUGAUGUAAUGUCCUUAAAACAAGUCAAAAUGAGGCUCAGUAGUGUGUGUGGCCUCCAUGUGCCUGUAUGAUCUCCCUACAAUGCCUGGGCAUGCUCCUGAUGAGGUGGGGGAUGGUCUCCUGAGGGAUGUCCUCCCAGACCUGGACUAAGAGCGAGACAUGAUGUCCCAGAUGUGCUCAAUAGGAUUCCGGUCUGGGGAACGGGCAGGCCAGUCCAUAGCAUGCAGGAACUGCUGAUACAUUCCAGCCACAUGAGGUCUAGCAUUAGGAGGAACCCAGGGCCAACAGCACCAGCAUAUGGUCUCACAAGGGGUCUGAGGAUCUCAUUUCGGUACCUAAUGGCAGUCAGGUUUCCUCUGGAAAGCACAUGGACGGCUGUGCGGACCCCCAAAAAAAUGCCACCCCACACCAUUACUGACCCACUGCCAAACCGAUCAUGCUGGAAGAUGUUGAAGGCAGCGGAACGUUCUCCAUGAUGUCUCCAGACUCUGUCGCGUCUGUCACAUGUGCCCAGUGUGAACCUGCUUUCAUCUGUGAAGAGCACAGGGUGCCAGUGAUGAAUUUGCCAAUCUUGGUGUUCUCUGACAAAUGCCAACCCCCACCUGUGGACAUUGGGCCCUCAUACCACCCUCAUGGAGUCUGUUUCUGACCGUUUGAGUGGACACUUUUGCGUGGACAUUUGUGGCCUGCUGAAGGUCAUUUUGCAGGGCUCUGGCAGAGCUCCUCCUGCUGCUCCUUGCACAAAAGCAGAGGUAGCGGUCCUGCUGCUGGGUUUUUGCCCUCCUACGGCCUCCUCCACGUCUCCUGAUGUACUGGCAUGUCUCCUGGUAGCGCCUCCAUGCUCUGGACACUACGCUGACAGAUACAGCAAACCUUCUUGCCCCAGCUUGCAUUGAUGUGCCAUCCUGGAUGAGCUGCACUACAUGAGCCACUUGUGUGGGUUGUAGACUCCGUCUCAUGCUACCACUAGUGUGAAAGCACUGCCAGCAUUCAAAAGUGACCAAAACAUCAGCCAGGAAGUAUAGGAACUGAGAAGUGGUCUGUGGUCACCACCUGCAGAACCACUCCUUUAUUGGGAGUGUCUUGCUAAUUGCCUAUAAUUUCCACCUGUUGUCUGUUCCAUUUGCACGACAGCAUGUGAAAUUGAUUGUCAAUCAGUGUUGCUUCCUGAAUGGACAGUGUGAUAUAACAGAAGUGUGAUUGACUUGGAGUUACAUUGUGUUGUUUAAGUGUUCCCUUUAUUUUUUGGAGCAAUGUACAUAGAAGUAGUCCAUAAUGUGAUAGACAGUUAGGUUUGGGUUGUACAAUGGGGGGAAAUGCUGGACAGCUUAAAUACAACAUGCCAAACAAACUGGUUGCUGUUGCUUCUCUCUUUAAUAAAAACACAAAACAUUUUUUAUGUGGAA